AGGACGAACGCUGGCGGCGUGCUUAACACAUGCAAGUCGAGCGGUGAUCCUCCUUCGGGAGGUGAUCAGCGGCGAACGGGUGAGUAACACGUGGGCAACCUGCCCCUCACACUGGGAUAACCUCGGGAAACCGGGGCUAAUACCGGAUACGACCUCGAGCGGCAUCUCUUGAGGUGGAAAGCUCCGACGGUGAGGGAUGGGCCCGCGGCCUAUCAGCUUGUUGGUGGGGUAAUGGCCUACCAAGGCGACGACGGGUAGCCGGG
rnacentral:rRNA from 1 species